ensembl:snRNA U2 U2 spliceosomal RNA
AUCACUUCUCGGCCUUUUGGCUAAGAUCAAGUGUAGUAUCUGUUCUUAUCAGUUUAACUAAAGUACUUCUUACCUGUUAUGACCACUGAAAUUUUUAAAAAUGACUUUUAUUUUUUAGAAAAGUUUUAGAUUUAUCGAAACCCUGCAAGGUUUCCACAUGGGCCUCAGCCAGAUUCCCC